rnacentral:lncRNA from 1 species
GAAAAGAAAGAAAAAAAAACUUUAAAAAAAAGUAAAAAACUUUCUGGCGCUCUGCUAGGGUUUAAUACCCAAGCUUCCUCGCGCCGCUUCCCUAUCACCCUCCGCCGCGACUCCGUGUAAUCGGAGGCCGGAGGGGUGCCAGAUCUGGGCUCUUUAACCCCUCCUAACAACUCUUGAAGGCCAAGGUAAGUCUCCCUUCCUUUAUUCUUUUUAUUUUCGUACACAAAAGCACAAAUAAAAAAAAAUCGAAACUUCAAAUAAUCACCUUAAAAAUACUGAUGUUUGCUUUGUUUUCUCUUUGAUCUCCCCUUUCUUUUUACAAAAGACCGACUGUUUUAUAGCCUAACAAUAACCUAUUUUCCUUGUCUUUUGUUGUUUUACAUUAUUUGGACUCUUUGAGUCCGUUUUACAAGUAUUUGAGGAGCGAACGGCGUGCGUGGGGAAGCCGAUCUCCGAGUCUUGCGGCGACUGGACGUUGGGCGCGACGUGGGGCUGAUGGGG